CUUACACAUGCAAGUCGAACGAUGAUGCCCAGCUUGCUGGGUGGAUUAGUGGCGAACGGGUGAGUAACACGUGAGUAACCUGCCCCUGACUCUGGGAUAAGCGUUGGAAACGACGUCUAAUACUGGAUAUGAUCACUGGCCGCAUGGUCUGGUGGUGGAAAGAUUUUUUGGUUGGGGAUGGACUCGCGGCCUAUCAGCUUGUUGGUGAGGUAAUGGCUCACCAAGGCGACGACGGGUAGCCGGCCUGAGAGGGUGACCGGCCACACUGGGACUGAGACACGGCCCAGACUCCUACGGGAGGCAGCAGUGGGGAAUAUUGCACAAUGGGCGAAAGCCUGAUGCAGCAACGCCGCGUGAGGGAUGACGGCCUUCGGGUUGUAAACCUCUUUUAGUAGGGAAGAAGCGAAAGUGACGGUACCUGCAGAAAAAGCACCGGCUAACUACGUGCCAGCAGCCGCGGUAAUACGUAGGGUGCAAGCGUUGUCCGGAAUUAUUGGGCGUAAAGAGCUCGUAGGCGGUUUGUCGCGUCUGCUGUGAAAUCCCGAGGCUCAACCUCGGGCUUGCAGUGGGUACGGGCAGACUAGAGUGCGGUAGGGGAGAUUGGAAUUCCUGGUGUAGCGGUGGAAUGCGCAGAUAUCAGGAGGAACACCGAUGGCGAAGGCAGAUCUCUGGGCCGUAACUGACGCUGAGGAGCGAAAGCAUGGGGAGCGAACAGGAUUAGAUACCCUGGUAGUCCAUGCCGUAAACGUUGGGCGCUAGAUGUAGGGACCUUUCCACGGUUUCUGUGUCGUAGCUAACGCAUUAAGCGCCCCGCCUGGGGAGUACGGCCGCAAGGCUAAAACUCAAAGGAAUUGACGGGGGCCCGCACAAGCGGCGGAGCAUGCGGAUUAAUUCGAUGCAACGCGAAGAACCUUACCAAGGCUUGACAUACACCGGAAACGGCCAGAGAUGGUCGCCCCCUUGUGGUCGGUGUACAGGUGGUGCAUGGUUGUCGUCAGCUCGUGUCGUGAGAUGUUGGGUUAAGUCCCGCAACGAGCGCAACCCUCGUUCUAUGUUGCCAGCGGGUUAUGCCGGGGACUCAUAGGAGACUGCCGGGGUCAACUCGGAGGAAGGUGGGGAUGACGUCAAAUCAUCAUGCCCCUUAUGUCUUGGGCUUCACGCAUGCUACAAUGGCCGGUACAAAGGGCUGCGAUACCGUAAGGUGGAGCGAAUCCCAAAAAGCCGGUCUCAGUUCGGAUUGAGGUCUGCAACUCGACCUCAUGAAGUCGGAGUCGCUAGUAAUCGCAGAUCAGCAACGCUGCGGUGAAUACGUUCCCGGGCCUUGUACACACCGCCCGUCAAGUCAUGAAAGUCGGUAACACCCGAAGCCGGUGGCCUAACCCUUGUGGAAGGAGCCU
rnacentral:rRNA from 1 species